rnacentral:lncRNA from 1 species
GAUUUCUUCUAUCUAAGAAAACAUCAGAUGUUCUAUUAUGGUGACUAUACUCUAUUAUAAUUUCACAUUUAUAGAUUUGAUACAUAAUUGUAAACAUGGGUUUAUUUUACCAUUCAUGAAAGUGCCUGAUUGUGGAGUAUAAGAUGAUAAUUUUGUAAAUUGACUUAAUUUUUGCUUCAGCUAUGAUUAAUUCUGUCGCUGACUCUUGAUGCUUUAAGUGUCUCUCCUAGGCUCCCCUCUGUCAUCUUCUUCCCUUAGCCUCUCUGUCCAGUAUCUCUAAGUUCUUAAAUGUGCAAGGUAAGCUCAGAAGGCAAGUGUGCCGAAAACAAUUUCCCUCACCAUCGUCUACUUUAUAAGUCCAGAUUUUGUAGAAUUGCUUUAAAGCAUGUCAUGUAUUUCUUGCCAUCUAUUGUUUCCUUCUGACUCCUUUCCUCUUACUUUACUUAAACAAAAUAUGAAUUAGAUAAAUACGGAAGU